GACGAACGCUGGCGGCGUGCUUAACACAUGCAAGUCGAACGGAAAGGCCCUGCUUUUGUGGGGUGCUCGAGUGGCGAACGGGUGAGUAACACGUGAGUAACCUGCCCUUGACUUUGGGAUAACUUCAGGAAACUGGGGCUAAUACCGGAUAGGAGCUCCUGCUGCAUGGUGGGGGUUGGAAAGUUUCGGCGGUUGGGGAUGGACUCGCGGCUUAUCAGCUUGUUGGUGGGGUAGUGGCUUACCAAGGCUUUGACGGGUAGCCGGCCUGAGAGGGUGACCGGCCACAUUGGGCCUGCGAUACGGCCCAGUCUCCUACGGGAGGCGGCAGUGGCGACUAUUGCACAAUGGGCGGAAGCCUGAUGCAGCGACGCCGCGUGCGGGAUGACGGCCUUCGGGUUGUAAACCGCUUUCGCCUGUUACGAAGCGUGAGUGACGGUACUGGGUAAAGAAGCACCGGCUAACUACGUG
rnacentral:rRNA from 1 species